CCUACGGGAGGCUGCAGUGGGGAAUAUUGCACAAUGGGCGCAAGCCUGCUGCAGCCAUGCCGCGUGUGUGAAGAAGGCCUUCGGGUUGUAAAGCACUUUCAGCGGGGAGGAAGGCGUUAAGGUUAAUAACCUUGUCGAUUGACGUUACCCGCAGAAGAAGCACCGGCUAACUCCGUGCCAGCAGCCGCGGUAAUACGGAGGGUGCAAGCGUUAAUCGGAAUUACUGGGCGUAAAGCGCACGCAGGCGGUCUGUCAAGUCGGAUGUGAAAUCCCCGGGCUCAACCUGGGAACUGCAUUCGAAACUGGCAGGCUAGAGUCUUGUAGAGGGGGGUAGAAUUCCAGGUGUAGCGGUGAAAUGCGUAGAGAUCUGGAGGAAUACCGGUGGCGAAGGCGGCCCCCUGGACAAAGACUGACGCUCAGGUGCGAAAGCGUGGGGAGCAAACAGGAUUAGAUACCCCGGUAGUC
rnacentral:rRNA from 1 species